GACGAACGCUGGCGGCGUGCUUAACACAUGCAAGUCGAGCGGUAAGGCCCUUUCGGGGGUACACGAGCGGCGAACGGGUGAGUAACACGUGGGUGACCUGCCCUCAGCUCUGGGAUAAGCCUGGGAAACUGGGUCUAAUACCGGAUAUGACUCCAUGACGCAUGUUGUGGGGUGGAAAGCCUUGUGCGGCUGAGGAUGGGCCCGCGGCCUAUCAGCUUGUUGGUGGGGUGAUGGCCUACCAAGGCGACGACGGGUAGCCGGCCUGAGAGGGCGACCGGCCACACUGGGACUGAGACACGGCCCAGACUCCUACGGGAGGCAGCAGUGGGGAAUCUUGGACAAUGGGCGCAAGCCUGAUCCAGCGAUGCCGCGUGUGUGAAGAAGGCCUGCGGGUU
rnacentral:rRNA from 1 species